rnacentral:rRNA from 1 species
GAUGAACGCUAGCUACAGGCUUAACACAUGCAAGUCGAGGGGUAACGAGAGGGAAGCUUGCUUUCCUUGUCGACGACCGGCGCACGGGUGAGUAACGCGUAUCCAACCUGCCCCCAACUAGGGAAUAACCUUGCGAAAGUAAGACUAAUACCCUAUAAUUUCCUCAGAUGUCAUCUGACGAGGAAUAAAGAUUUAUCGGUUGUGGAUGGGGAUGCGUCUGAUUAGCUUGUUGGCGGGGUAACGGCCCACCAAGGCAACGAUCAGUAGGGGUUCUUAGAGGAAGGUCCCCCACAUUGGAACUGAGACACGGUCCAAACUCCUACGGGGGGCAGCAGUGAGGAAUAUUGGUCAAUGGGCGGAAGCCUGAACCAGCCAAGUAGCGUGCAGGAUGACGGCCCUAUGGGUUGUAAACUGCUUUUAUACAGGAAUAAAGUUAGCCACGUGUGGUUAUUUGUAGGUACUGUAUGAAUAAGGACCGGCUAAUUCCGUGCCAGCCGCCGCGGUAA